AGUGAACGCUGGCGGUAGGCCUAACACAUGCAAGUCGAACGGCAGCACAGUAAGAGCUUGCUCUUACGGGUGGCGAGUGGCGGACGGGUGAGGAAUACAUCGGAAUCUACUUUUUCGUGGGGGAUAACGUAGGGAAACUUACGCUAAUACCGAAUACGACCUACGGGUGAAAGCAGGGGAUCUUCGUACCUUGCGCGAUUGAAUGAGCCGAUGUCGGAUUAGUUAGCUGGCGGGGUAAAGGCCCACCAAGGCGACGGACCUUAGCUGGUGUGAGAGGAUGAUCAGCCACACUGGAACGGGACCACGGUCCAGACCCCUACGGGAGGCAGAGGUGGGGAAUAUUGGACAAUGGGCGCAAGCCUGAUCCAGCAAUACCGCGUGGGUGAAGAAGGCCUUCGGGUUGUAAAGCCCUUUUGUUGGGAAAGAAAAGCAGCAGGUUAAUACCCCGCUGUUCUGACGGUACCCAAAGAAUAAGCAACGGCUAACUUCGUG
rnacentral:rRNA from 1 species